rnacentral:rRNA from 1 species
UACGGAGGAUGCAAGCGUUAUCCGGAUUUAUUGGGUUUAAAGGGUGCGCAGGUUGUUUGAUAAGUCAGUGGUGAAAGUCUGUCGCUUAACGGUAGGAUUGCCAUUGAUACUGUUGGACUUGAAUAUGGAUGAGGUAGGCGGAAUGUGUAGUGUAGCGGUGAAAUGCAUAGAUAUUACACAGAACAUCGAUUGCGAAGGCAGCUUACUAAUCCAUCAUUGACGCUGAGGCACGAAAGCGUGGGGAGUCAAA